rnacentral:rRNA from 2 species
UCAAUAAGCGGAGGAAAAGAAACUAACAAGGAUUCCCCUAGUAACUGCGAGUGAAGCGGGAAAAGCUCAAAUUUAAAAUCUGUCAGUCUUUGACUGUCCGAAUUGUAAUCUAGAGAAGUGUUAUCCGCGUUGGACCGUGUACAAGUCUCCUGGAAUGGAGCGUCAUAGAGGGUGAGAAUCCCGUCUUUGACACGGACUGCCAGGGCUCUGUGAUACACUCUCAAAGAGUCGAGUUGUUUGGGAAUGCAGCUCAAAAUGGGUGGUAAAUUCCAUCUAAAGCUAAAUAUUGGCGAGAGACCGAUAGCGAACAAGUACCGUGAGGGAAAGAUGAAAAGAACUUUGGAAAGAGAGUUAAACAGUACGUGAAAUUGCUGAAAGGGAAACGCUUGAAGUCAGUCGCGUUGUCCAGGGAUCAACCUUGCUUUUGCUUGGUGUAUUUUCUGGUUAACGGGUCAGCAUCAAUUUUGACUAUUGGAAAAAAGUCGAGGGAAUGUGGCAUUUUAGGAUGUGUUAUAGCCCUUGGUUGCAUACAAUUGUUGGGAUUGAGGAACUCAGCACGCCGCAAGGCUGGGUCUUUAUUGAUCACGUACGUGCUUAGGAUGCUGGCAUAAUGGCUUUAAUCGACCCGUCUUGAA